rnacentral:rRNA from 1 species
UACGUAGGGUGCGAGCGUUGUCCGGAAUUAUUGGGCGUAAAGAGCUCGUAGGCGGCUUGUCGCGUCGGAUGUGAAAGCCCGGGGCUUAACUCCGGGUCUGCAUUCGAUACGGGCAGGCUAGAGUUCGGUAGGGGAGAUCGGAAUUCCUGGUGUAGCGGUGAAAUGCGCAGAUAUCAGGAGGAACACCGGUGGCGAAGGCGGGUCUCUGGGCCGAUACUGACGCUGAGGAGCGAAAGCGUGGGGAGCGAACAUG